AUUGAACGCUGGCGGCAGGCCUAACACAUGCAAGUCGAGCGGUAGAGAGGUGCUUGCACCUCUUGAGAGCGGCGGACGGGUGAGUAAUGCCUAGGAAUCUGCCUGGUAGUGGGGGAUAACGUCCGGACACGGACGCUAAUACCGCAUACGUCCUACGGGAGAAAGCAGGGGACCUUCGGGCCUUGCGCUAUCAUAUGCGCCUAGGUCGGAUUAGCUAGUUGGUGAUGUAAUGGCUCACCAAGGCGACGAUCCGUAACUGGUCUGAGAGGAUGAUCAGUCACACUGGAACUGAGACAAGGUCCAGACUCCUACGGGAGGCAGCAGUGGGGAAUAUUGGACAAUGGGCGAAAGCCUGAUCCAGCCAUGCCGCGUGUGUGAAGAAGGUCUUCGGAUUGUAAAGCACUUUAAGUUGGGAGGAAGGGUUGUAGAUUAAUACUCUGCAAUUUUGACGUUACCGACAGAAUAAGCACCGGCUAACUCUGUGCCAGCCGCCGCCGUAACAC
rnacentral:rRNA from 1 species